UAUCAUAGAACUUGUGUUUUUUUUUAUAAACCAAGCAGGCGGUACUGAGGUGUGCUGGUAAAUUUGUUCUGCAAAAUUGGUGGUGUGAGACGGUCACUUAGGUGAAACUAAAUAAGGAGUAGGAGAUAUAGUGAAAAUGGUCGCUGUCCAAAAACCAUCGAAAACUUAAAAUUCGGUAUUGCUGUGCUGCAGUAACAACAGAAAAAUUACGACGGCUGCGAUUGGAACUUUAGCAGACACAGCAAAAUGUAUCCUGUAAUGUCUUAUCGGUCGAAAAAUUACCCUAAAAACGUACCUUCAAACCAGCAGUUUCGUUACAAUACGAACAAUACAUAGAAACAAAUUAAACAGUCAAUGGAGCAUAAAGUACGGUAGUAUAGUGAUCUAACCAAGCUAGCACAAGCUUAUGAGAAACAAAAAUAUUGUUUAAUGACAAAAAUUUACACCGAUCAAACCUUUAUUGCUACUGCCACCUCAUCGUUGCCUGUUAUCCAGCUACCAACACUUCCCGGACAAAACACGAUCCAGAAUCUGUUGGAAAUGAACCAGCAGGUCGACAGUGCCGAUUUGGAGACGGUUACGAAAGAGGAUACACCACAAUCAUCAUCUAAUCGAAUGUCGGACUCGAAUGCAAAGGUACUGUAUGCUGCACCUGUUCAGAUGGUCCUGCAUGAGGUAAAUCCGGAUGCGAUGCCAAUCGAGCUUCUAGUUUCCCCUAGUAACGGCUUUUUUUCAAGUCUAUAAGUAUUACAAACUUAAGAAAAAUAGGUUUCAAUGUCGUGUUACGGUUUGUGUAAUUAGUCUCGUGAUUGAUACGGAUACAAGACCCAGAUCCUUUGGCCGUUCUUCCAGGUUUAUAAAACUGUAUU